rnacentral:rRNA from 1 species
CUAAGAAUAUUCCGCAAUGGACGGAAGUCUGACGGAGCGACGCCGCGUGGAUGAAGAAGGCCGAAAGGUUGUAAAGUUCUUUUGCUGGGGAAGAAUAACCGCAGGAGGGAAUGCCUGUGGGAUGACAAGAACCGGCGAAUAAGCCCCGGCCAACUACGUGCCAGCAGCCGCGGUAACACGUAGGGGGCGAGCGUUGUUCGGAAUUACUGGGCGUAAAGGGCAUGUAGGCGGCUUGGAAAGCCUGGCGUGAAAGUCUGCAGCUUAACUGCAGGGGUGCGCUGGGAACUGCUGAGCUUGAGUGACGGAGAGGGAGCUGGAAUUCCUGGUGUAGGGGUGAAAUCUGUAGAUAUCAGGAAGAACACCGACGGCGAAGGCAAGUUCCUGGCCGAUGACUGACGCUGAGGUGCGAAAGUGUGGGGGCAUCAAACAGGAUUAGAUACCCUGGUAGUCCACACAGUCAACGAUGUGCACUAGGUGCUGGGGCGGUAGCUUCGGUGCCGGAGCGAACGUGGUAAGUGCACCG